CAGGACCAGAAUAGGAGAGUUGGAAAAGCAGGUUCGGGACCUCCAGUUUGAAAGCAGUUUGCAAACCGUAGCCGAUGAAGGUGACAAGCAGAAUUGACUCAAGAAAAUGCGGCUCUUAGGGCUCAGAUCCGACAAAUGAAAAUAGCUGCUAACAGCCAAGAAAGAAGCCGGGACGAUGGAAGGUUGAUAAGUGGAUUGAAAAGACAAGUCUUAGAGUGCUAGCAAGACUUGGAAAAAGCCAAAGAGAAUAUAGCAAAAAUCCAGGUGCAAUGGGCAAAGAAAGCGGAAGAAUGGGCCCAAUCUGUGCGAUAAAUAAAAAGAAA
rnacentral:lncRNA from 1 species